GUCGAACAGACCUAGAACUUUAAGCUUCUGCACUUAAAUCUAAUUUUAAUCCAACAUCGAGGUCGCAAACUUUUCCAUCGAUAAGAACUCUCCAGAAAAAUUACGCUGUUAUCCCUAAGGUAAUUUAAUCUAAAUAUCCAUAAAACAGGAUCCUAAAAAUAAAAAUAAUUAAAUAUUAAAUUAUGAGAGUUUUUUUAAUCUCAAUAUCACCCCAAUAAAAUUACAACCCAAAUAAAUAAUAAAAAUAACCAUAAAUUAAAUAUAAAACUUAUAAUAAAAUUCUAUAGGGUCUUCUCGUCCCACUUAAAAAUUUAAGCUUUUUAACUUAAAAAUUAAAUUCAACUUUUUAAUAUAAAGAAAGUAAUUCCCUCAUCCAACCAUUCAUACAAGCCUUUAAUUAAAAGACAAAUGAUUAUGCUACCUUCGCACAGUCAAGAUACUG
rnacentral:rRNA from 1 species